CUGCUGAUCCAGCGCCAAUGGGGCCGCGCACACACAAAGCUUCCUGCUGAGUUGCCACGGUGUGGGUCCCAGUACCCUCAAAGGGCGGUUUUCAGUCUAAGAGAUGACAGCAGCGUGGUUCAGAGGAGCGAGGUGCCUUGUCCAAAGCCAUGAGCUAGGAUUGGGACCCGCUGACCUCACUGUCUCAGGAAGACACGGCAGCGAAUGUACACAUUCAGGGCUGCAGCAGCGACGGAGAGUGUUCAAGUCAUUUCCCCCCAAAUUUGGACUCCAGGACACUCUCCCUGCACACAGAUGAACGCCCCCCUGAGCAAAUUGCCUCCCCACCCUGUCCAGAGUCACCUAGACUGCGGGCAAAUAGUUUUGCAGACCAAGAUGUGACCAAC